AGAAUCCCUGUCUUCUAGAUGAGGAAAGCAAGAUACAAGCUCACCAGCACGUGUGAGGUACAGCCAGUGCUGGAACCCAGGAGCACUCACAGUGAGAGAAAAGCAACUAACAUCAGAGUCUGUGCCAUUGUUCAGCUAUGGAACCAAGAAUUUAAAUUAAAUUCAUUGAGCUCUGCCUGCGCACCACCAGCCCCAGCCAGGAAGAUGUGGCCAGGGCAGCCAGUCGGGCUUGGGACUUGAUCACGCCAUCAGACAGCUGUGCUGAAAAAACUCCUUCCAAGGCACAUGUGAUGUGGGACAAAGGACAUCAAAACCUGCUGCUGGGACCUGAGGCUCCACCAGACAUCUGACUCAAAGCUUUCUGAGGUGCUCAGGGCUAACAAGGAUAAAAGGAAUGAAUCAUCCCUAGGGAUUUCUUAUGGAAGAGAAGACAGAAGAGUGGAUUUCCCAGCCACCUUAAUGACAGCCUCAGUGGGGAGCAGGGACCCUCACUCCUGUGAUCCUGGCACUCCAGAGGCUGAGGUAAGAGAAUCACAAAUGAGAGUCCAGCCUGGAAGAUUUACUGACUUGGUGAGAUUUGAAGUUUGAAAUUCACUCAAGGAAGCCAGGCACGGUGGCACUAACUAAAUGAGAGGCAGUUAACACACGGUCUGACUGUCCCUGCUCCCAGAGGGGCAGAGCCAGCUAGAACCUUCAUUUCCUGCUCUAACAAUUGACAAGGCCUAGGGGAAUCUACAAUGACCCUGCCCAUGGACAUCACCAUUUCCUCUGAUGAACCAUGGGUAAUCUUGGACAUCAUGGGUGAGCCAACUUGAUUGCUUAUAGACACAGGAACAGCUCAUUCUGUUUUGAUUUCCUUCUCUGGAAAACUCUAAGUCUGUAGUCAUAGUUGGGGAACUCUAGUCAGAGGUUCUUUACUCCUCUG
rnacentral:lncRNA from 1 species